AACGAACGCUGGCGGCAGGCUUAACACAUGCAAGUCGAGCGCCCCGCAAGGGGAGCGGCAGACGGGUGAGUAACGCGUGGGAAUCUACCUAUCACUACGGAACAACUCCGGGAAACUGGAGCUAAUACCGUAUACGCCCGAGAGGGGAAAGAUUUAUCGGUGAUAGAUGAGCCCGCGUUGGAUUAGCUAGUUGGUGGGGUAAUGGCCUACCAAGGCGACGAUCCAUAGCUGGUCUGAGAGGAUGAUCAGCCACACUGGGACUGAGACACGGCCCAGACUCCUACGGGAGGCAGCAGUGGGGAAUAUUGGACAAUGGGCGAAAGCCUGAUCCAGCCAUGCCGCGUGAGUGAUGACGGCCUUAGGGUUGUAAAGCUCUUUCAACGGUGAAGAUAAUGACGGUAACCGUAGAAGAAGCCCCGGCUAACUUCGUG
rnacentral:rRNA from 1 species